GUUUUGUUUUGUUUUGUUUUGUUUUAAAGAAAGAAUCAGGGAAGUGAGACAAAGUGAAGUUGCCAAGCUAGCGCAGAGUGAACCCUGUCCCAGUGCAGAGUGAACAGAGCACAGAGUGAACCAAGCCAGCACAGAGUGAAGGGAGAAAGAGAAACAGUGCGGGAACGAGGAGGGAAGCUCUCCCAGCAUGCCUGUGCAUGUAUGGGAACAGGUUGGAAUGGAGACACAUUUGAGUGGAGGAGAAGGUUAAUGAAUGACAAGGUGUAUUUACAGAGCAAGAAGAAGGCAGACAGGUAGUUGGUAGUCAUGGGAGUAGAAAAAUGGAGAAUUUUCUUUUUGCCAUUAUUACUUCUAAAAUAAAUUAUUAAUCAAAGUUAUAAAAUGGGGCCCAAAAGGAUUAAGUUUGAGGAGAAACGAGAAGACCUGAAACAAUGGCUCCCACGCAUGAGUGGGAAAACAGAUGCGAAGAACAUCUGCGAUUCGGUUUCCACGUCACGUGAUGAUAAGGUGCCAGGGGUUUCCAGUAGAUGAUCCAGGCUUUAAAGAGUCUCACUGAGCUUGAGUCCUGCCAGAUUUCACACCACACACUGCCAUCUUUGGUAAGGAUAUCUAUUUAACUAUCUGAUCAAAUGCACUGUCUUUCUCACAAGCUCCUAUUGUGGUCUCUCUGUGUCUGACUCAGGAAUGGAAGGGAGUAUUCGCAGGUUAUGUUCCGUGUCUGCUGCUAUUGUAUAUUCUGAUUUAUAUAGGGUCCAGCCAUUCAUAUAGAUAUUUCCCCAUGUUUAAAAUUUCAAUGUUCCAAUAAAUGACAUGAGCCACUUUUUAAAAAGUCAUAGGAAGUCAUAGAGUGGAAGAGUUUGGAAUAAAAUGGAAGACUUGGAUAUGCACCAAUUAGCCUCUGUGUACUGGAAAAGGCUCACCGUCAUCACUAACUCUUGUAUUUGUGUGACACCCUUCUUCCCUUACCCCAGUCAAGGGUAGGCAAUUCCUGCUGUUGCUUCCUUUAGCAUCUAUAUCACCCUUUCUCUGUCACCUGAAGCUUGUAUGUGAGUCUCAUUAUGGAUUACAGGGGAAUAAACUAUUUUAUUUUUCCCA